rnacentral:lncRNA from 1 species
GACACACGGGGAGAAGGCCGCGUGACACGGAGGCAGGAAUCAGAGUGAUGUGUCUACAAGCCCAGGAAUGCCAAGGACUGCCAGCAAACCAGCAGGAGCCAGGGAGAGGCCGGCGAGGAGGGACCCUGCCUGCAGGCCGCAGGGGGAGCCUGGCCUGCUGACACCUUGACUUGGCGCUUCCAGACCCCGGGACGCUGAGGGAGUGAACCUCUGUUGCUUUCAGCUGCCUGGUUUGCCGUCCUUCGGUACAGCGGCCGGGAGACUAGGACGGCGAGGCAUCUGCCCUCAAAGAAACCCAUGUCCCUUAUUGCGAUCAGAUGCCGCCACCACGGUUGAGCAGAGCGGCCAGGAAGAGCGAUUGUGUGCCUCAGGCUUAGUCUAAGCCCACCAGGACCGCAUUUUCGUCUGAUGGCCACGCAUGUGGUCUGGGGCCUCUUCCGAUGUCAGGUGUUGCUUUUUGUUCUAAUUCCUGAUCCUACAGUGAAUCCAAGGGCCGUCUUCCAUCAUCUGCGUGCCCUCAGCAGUCUGGCAACGACAAAGUCUAGCGAAAAAGAUCGGCUCCCUUGACCUGUCUUGACCUCAAGCCUGGACAGGAACUCAGCAUGUCCAGUUUGACUCUUCUGAGUAACGCUGACCAGCAGGCUGACUUUAGGGAGACUGGUCAGCAGAUACCGCCAACGGAAAUGACCAGGCUGGAGGUGAACAGCUGAACGGUCAGAAAGACCGGAAGUCCGCGGUGUAAAUGUUUUGAGGCUGUCCUGCCGCUCCCGUCCACUAGGUACUGGUGGAGGAAAAGAGCACGGCCGUCCCCACGUUAGAUCUGCUCGACUGCAGUCCCCUGGGAGAAGAGAAGCUCAGGAGACUCAGAUCAACCUUUGUGCAGGAAUGUAAAUUGGUGCAGCCACUAUGGAAAACAGUAACGGGGGGCCCUCAAAAAAUAAAAAGUAGAACCACCAUAUGAUCCAGCAAAUCCACUCCUGCAUACACAGCCGAAGGAAACAAAAUCUCCGACCCAAAGAGACAUCUGCUCUCGCAUGUUCAUUGUAGCACUAUUUACAACAUCCAAGAUACAGAAGCAACCUAAGUGUUCAUCAAUGGACGAAUGGACAAAGAAAUGUUACUCAGCCAUAAAAAAGAAAGAAAUCCUGCCAUUUUUGACAACUGGGUGGACCUUGAGGGCAUUACGCUAAAUGAAAUAAGCCAGAGAGAGAAAGAUAAAUACUGUAUGAUCUCACUUAUAUGUGGAAUCUAAAAUCAUCCAACUCACAGAAGCAGAACAGAUGGGUGGUUGUCAGAGCCGGG